UACAGGGGGGGCAAGCGUUGUUCGGAAUUACUGGGCGUAAAGGGCUCGUAGGUGGCCAACUAAGUCGGACGUGAAAUCCCUCAGCUUAACUGGGGAACUGCGUCCGAUACUGGAUGGCUUGAGUUUGGGAGAGGAUGCGGAAUUCCAGGUGUAGCGGUGAAAUGCGUAGAUAUCUGGAGGAACACCGGUGGCGAAGGCGGCAUCCUGGACCAACACUGACACUGAGGAGCGAAAGCCAGGGGAGCAAACGGG
rnacentral:rRNA from 1 species